CGUAUUCCCACUGCUCCAGACUGUGAAAGGACAGACAUGAUGCAAGAAAUGAUUUUUAAUCACAGGGUCAUACAGUCUCUGUCACAACCACUCAGCUCUGCUCUCAUAGCACGAACCCAGUCAAAGGUAAUACACAAAUGAAUGAGCAUGCUUAUGUUUCAAUAAAAAUUUUUAUGGACACUGAAA